UACGUAGGGUGCAAGCGCUGUCCGGAAUUAUUGGGCGUAAAGAGCUCGUAGGCGGUCUGUCGCGUCUGCUGUGAAAACUCGGGGCUUAACCCCGGGCCUGCAGUGGGUACGGGCAGACUAGAGUGCGGUAGGGGAGACUGGAAUUCCUGGUGUAGCGGUGAAAUGCGCAGAUAUCAGGAGGAACACCGGUGGCGAAGGCGGGUCUCUGGGCCGUAACUGACGCUGAGGAGCGAAAGCGUGGGGAGCGAACAGG
rnacentral:rRNA from 1 species